rnacentral:rRNA from 1 species
CCGAACACUCCUACGGGAGGCAGCAGUGGGGAAUAUUGCACAAUGGGGGAAACCCUGAUGCAGCCAUGCCGCGUGUGUGAAGAAGGCCUUCGGGUUGUAAAGCACUUUCAGUAGGGAGGAAGGUAGUGUAGUUAACACCUGCAUUGUUUGACGUUACCUACAGAAGAAGCACCGGCUAACUCCGUGCCAGCAGCCGCGGUAAUACGGAGGGUGCGAGCGUUAAUCGGAAUUACUGGGCGUAAAGCGCAUGCAGGCGGCCUGUUAAGUCAGAUGUGAAAGCCCGGGGCUUAACCUCGGAAUUGCAUUUGAAACUGGCAGGCUAGAGUCUUGUAGAGGGGGUAGAAUUUCAGGUGUAGCGGUGAAAUGCGUAGAGAUCUGAAGGAAUACCGGUGGCGAAGGCGGCCCCCUGGACAGAUACUGACACUCAGAUGCGAAAGCGUGGGGAGCAAACAGGAUUAGAUACCCUGGUAG